AUUGAACGCUGGCGGAAUGCUUUACACAUGCAAGUCGAACGGCAGCACGGACUUCGGUCUGGUGGCGAGUGGCGAACGGGUGAGUAACAUAUCGGAAAGUAUCCAAUAAUGGGGGAUAACGAACCGAUGGGUUGGCUAAUACCGCAUAAGCCCUACGGGGGAAAGCUAGGGACCUUCGGGCCUGGCGUUAAUGAAGCGGCCGAUAUCUGAUUAGCUAGUUGGUGGGGUACAGGCCCACCAAGGCGACGAUCAGUAGCUGGUCUGAGAGGACGACCAGCCACACUGGAACUGAGACACGGUCCAGACUCCUACGGGAGGCAGCAGUGGGGAAUUUUGGACAAUGGGCGCAAGCCUGAUCCAGCCAUUCCGCGUGAGUGAAGAAGGCCUUCGGGUUGUAAAGCUCUUUCGCAAGGGAAGAAAACUUAGCCUCUAGCAUAGGCUGAGGUUGACGGUACCUUGAUAAGAAGCACCGGCUAACUACGUGCCAGCAGCCGCGGUAA
rnacentral:rRNA from 1 species